AUGGCAAUAGAUUACGUCAGUGAUGACUUCAAGGAAACACCGCCAUUGUAAGUUACCAUCUUUCCAUUGCUUGCUCCUUCUGCAUUCUAUAAGAUGCCAUUCCCCUCUUUACCCACAAAGCAAAUUCAUCCCUAAACCAUUGAUUUCACAAUGGUCUAUGGUGAUGAGAAGUAUCGUUCUCUUUUGAGUGGUGAUGAAGAGAAAAGCACUAAAUGGAGAUAUGGGGUUCCUCCUAACUAUGAUAUUGUCAACAAACUCUUUGAAGAAGAGAGGACUAAUGUAUGGCCUGUUGGGUCACUUGAAGAGAGAGUGCAAAGCCUUGUGAAGAAUUUUGAGAUGGAAAUGUUCCAUAAGAUAUCACCCAGUGACUUCAAAACAAUAGACGUAAACAAAUAUACUUUCUGUCUCAAUGGAAGAAAGCCUUUAGCUAUUGGAGAAGUAAGUAAACUUGGAGGUUACAAUCCCUUCCUUCAGACAGCCCUCCCCGAUGAGUACAGGUACUAUAAUGCUGAAAAGGAGACUGCCGAAUCAUCUCACCGAGCUUUCACUGCGACGUUCCUUAGAGGUUUUGCUCUUGAGAUUAUCCAAGUUUAUUCAGGGCCCCCAAAUAUUGUGUUCAAGUUCAGGCAUUGGGGCUACAUGGAGGGGCCGUUCAGAAACCAUGCCGCCACUGGGGAGAGAAUUGAAUUCUAUGGAGUUGCCAUUUUCAAGGUGAAUGAGAAAGAUAAGAUUGAGGGGGUGGAGUUCUUUUUUGACCCAGCGGAGUUAGUUGGAAAACUCCUGAAAGGUCCUGGUUUGGAUGGCUCGGUUGAAAAGGCGAUUUCGAGCUGCCCUGUCUUGAGAAACACAGGAUAGCAUCCAAGUUGGCAACGACAGGGUUUGAGGAUGUGAAACACUGUUCCCUUCUGCAUGGAGAUGAAGAGAAAAACGCCAAUGGAAGCCAACAUGCUCUUUGAAGAAGAGAGGACCAAGAUGAACAGCUGUAGGAGACCGUGGAGAUGGCCUUCAAGUUGACUGCACAAUUAAAGAAGAUGUUUCAGGUUGCCCCAUCUUAAGCAAGAAUGCGUACAUGCCGCAGCAUUUGCCAAUUACUCAAGGAAUUGGAACAAUAUGCAGAAAUUGGUAGAACUAGCAAAAGUCUCUAGGAGGUAAUUGUUAUUGCUUGUAGUCUUGUAGAUGAUCACGAUGAAACAUGGGUGAAAAUUGAUAAGAGGUCCAAAGAAAUUUACUGAUCUUGUAGAAUCAACUAACUAAUGUUUAUCUGAUAAUAUGAAACUUUAUCUCAAAACCAAUUGACAACCAGGGAGUAACUUAUUUUUCAUUUUGAGAUUGCAUGGGAAGCAAGGAGCUCGUUCUUUGGUAUAUAUCUACUUUAUUUAGUUCCAGAUUGUGUUUAUGGUCAAAACUGUAAAGUCUGUGGACUGAUGAAGAUUAUCAAGUUUGAAUUUGAAUUCUUUUGUGACAAAAUAAAAAGAGAGAGAAUUUGGAACUUUGUAUAUUAUCACAUUCUGCUGACUUUUAUUUACUCCACUCUUUGUGAUAGAGUGAUCUAGAACGAGGCUAAUUUGGUCAUACAAUUUUGCUUAGUAACACCAAACUGCAUUUUUGGGGAAGAAUUCAGUUACAGUUACCACUUUUGGUAUCAGAUACAGAUAAUUGUUUGUUGACAUUGGCUAAACAGAAAACACCAUAUAUUAUACAGUUAAAGAUUACAGACAUGACGUGCGGUCUAGUAAAAUAGUAAUUCUACCAGUUACAUUACAAGCCUAACUGUUAUAUCUGUAUGAAGCAGAAAGAUGAGAAGUGUAUGAAUAAAAUAGAUGGAAAAAGAAACUUUCCUGUGCUACCUAUGGCAGUUGUAUUUACAUGUUUUCUAUACAUAAGAAAAUGUAAAUGACUCAAAACUUGGGAAACUACUCUUCUUUUGUCCAUUGGUCUUCCUUUAUGCAGACUUUAAGCGAUCUAACCUGUACAGUCUCUGGAAAAGAAACCCAUGAACGUGAUCAGUAGGUAAACCGUGAUUAAAUUGGUUCUAAUGCUGAAAGUAAUACUUGAGUUUACCAGAAUAUUAUGGAUAUCUUCUAGAAAAGGUGCGAGCUGGGAAAUGAAGGAGUCUAUUUCCUUCACGAGGGCAUCGUUGUUUUCGUCUUUGGCCAUUAGGAGAUUAGUAAAGGUUUCACUAUCUGGCACAAGUUUCAGAGCUAUCUGCACGAACCAUUAUAUUGAUUUUUGUUUAUAUAAAACCACCAUGGCCAUCAGAUUAGAUGCAAAGAAAAAUAAAGCAGAAAGGGAUCAAUAUGACCCGUUGCAACUGUUUUGUUAUACAUAAGACUUAAUCCUUGUUUGAAACAGAUAUGGGGAUAAACACGUAGAAUUACUUAAAGAGUAUAAUUACUUUGAAAGCAGCAGAUGAAAUCCAUCCAUGCCAUGGCUUUAGAGUAAGGUUGUAAGCAUCCUCUACCGCUUGCUCCAUGCUCAGUCUAGGUUCUUCUUUUGACUUUUGUAAUAAAGACACUGUAAAAUCCAGUGACCUAAGUAAAAACACCAUAAUUAGUGUUAUACAUCCUGUCUUUCUCUCUAUUUUUCACAGGUGAAUCAGAAGUCAGUAUGAUCAUUAAAUACAGAUGGAAUUUUUAAUGAAGUUGGUGUCUUUAUGAACUUUAGAGAAUGAUGAAACAGUUACUAAAAACAGCAGAGAACAGCACAACAAAAGCCAGUGAAGGAACCAGCUACCAGUGGUUAAGGAAGGAGAAACACUUUAUAAAUCACCAAUUGACCCAAAAUUUAAGUUGCGGGUGAAGGUAAGUAUAAUUGUGAAACAAGUUGAAGAAUGAAAAAGUUACCUUGUCAACCAAAGAAAGGCUCUGCUACAACUGCUCUCAAAACAAGGAGAGAGAGAGAGAGUAAAUUACCCAGAAAUUGAAGAAUCAAAUUGCAAAUAGCAAGAAAGUGGUUAGUGGGUAUGUUAGAAGCAGCAUGAUCAACAGGUUUGAACUUAGCCAACACUGAAAGCUCAGCUGUUGAAGACCUCAUUUCGGAUUCCUUUUCUACUUCUCUCUUCCUCUUCAUAUAUAAAUAAUAAACUAAAACCCCUUCGUUCACUUCUUGGUUUCCAGUUUAACCCUUUGAUUUUCAAAUAUUCUUAUAAAGGACGGACCAUUCUUUCUCCAUCUCCUUCUCUCCUCCUUUUGCCUAUGCUCUGAACUGAGCUCUCAUUAAAGUUGAGUUCCCCUUUAUUUAUAUUUUGAAUUCUCUUUUGUUAAAGAGGAGAGCUCUCAGAUUUAAGAAAUGUUGAUGGUGACUGCAGAUUUGACCUCAAUUAUCAGUAA